rnacentral:rRNA from 1 species
CUCGUGUCGUGAGAUGUUGGGUUAAGUCCGUAACGAGCGCAACCCUUGUCCUUAGUUACCAGCACGUUAUGGUGGGCACUCUAAGGAGACUGCCGGUGGACAAACCGGAGGAAGGUGGGGAUGACGUCAAGUCAUCAUGGCCCUUACGGCCUGGGCUACACACGUGCUACAAUGGUCGGUACAAAGGGUUGCCAAGCCGCGAGGUGGAGCUAAUCCCAUAAAACCGAUCGUAGUCCGGAUCGCAGUCUGCAACUCGACUGCGUGAAGUCGGAAUCGCUAGUAAUCGUGAAUCAGAAUGUCACGGUGAAUACGUUCCCGGGCCUU